rnacentral:rRNA from 1 species
CCUACGGGAGGCAGCAGUGGGGAAUUUUGGACAAUGGGCGCAAGCCUGAUCCAGCAAUGCCGCGUGAGUGAAGAAGGCCUUCGGGUUGUAAAGCUCUUUUGUCAGGGAAGAAAAGGGAUUGGCUAAUAUCUGGUCCUCAUGACGGUACCUGAAGAAUAAGCACCGGCUAACUACGUGCCAGCAGCCGCGGUAAUACGUAGGGUGCAAGCGUUAAUCGGAAUUACUGGGCGUAAAGCGUGCGCAGGCGGUUUUGUAAGACUGUCGUGAAAUCCCCGGGCUUAACCUGGGAAUGGCGAUGGUGACUGCAAGGCUAGAGUUUGGCAGAGGGGGGUAGAAUUCCACGUGUAGCAGUGAAAUGCGUAGAUAUGUGGAGGAACACCGAUGGCGAAGGCAGCCCCCUGGGUCAAAACUGACGCUCAUGCACGAAAGCGUGGGGAGCAAACAGGAUUAGAUACCCUGGUAGUCCACGCCCUAAACGAUGUCUACUAGUUGUCGGGUCUUAAUUGACUUGGUAACGCAGCUACGCGUGAGUAGACCGCCGUGGGAGGUACGGUCGCGAGAGUAAACUACGAAGAGUAGUAGACGNGAGAGAGCGACGACGACGACGACGGAGGAGGAGG